rnacentral:rRNA from 1 species
CCUACGGGUGGCAGCAGUGGGGGAUAUUGCACAAUGGGGGAAACCCUGAUGCAGCGACGCCGCGUGAGUGAAGAAGUAUUUCGGUAUGUAAAGCUCUAUCAGCAGGGAAGAAAAUGACAGUACCUGUCCAUGUAGCCAUGGCCAAAUACGUGCCAGCAGGCGCGGUAAUACGGAGGGGGCAAGCGUUAUCCGGAUUUACUGGGUGUAAAGGGAGUGUAGACGGUUAGGUAAGUCUGGAGUGAAAGCCCGGGGCUCAACCCCGGGACUGAAUGGGAAACUGUGUAGCGGGAGUACAGGAGGGGGAGGCAGAAUUCCGGGUGUAGCGGUGAAAUGCGUAGAGAUCAGGAGGAACACCGGCGGCGAAGGCGGCCUGCUGGACUGAGACUGACGUUGAGGCUCGAAAGCGUGGGGAGCAAACAGGAUUAGAUACCCCAGUAGUC